AAUUGACUUCUAUUUUGGGCAAGCUUUUUAAAAGCACGACUUAUAAACACAUGAAUUCUCAAAGCAGGCGAUGAAACCAACAUCUUUUUUAAAACCAGAAUGCGAAUUAUUGUGGACCAUCUCCGCGAACCACGCUGCAGUUCUUAUCUGUACCAGCCGCUGGUGCAAAGCUGUCCAAUGCUCAAAGUUUUCAAGGUGCCCAUCAAUCCAGAUUUGAAUGCGAUGCCGCUCGGCGGUACCAUUCUUCGUACCAUGGUCCUGCGCUCUUUCUUGAAUCCGCUUUCCACUGACUGGAGGACCACGCUGUUCAUAUCGCUCGUAGAAACGGAUUCUCUGCGCCAUUUAGAGUUCCACCACUGUGGAGUUCUAGUCAGAACUUUGAUUCGAUGGAACUGCGAAAAUUUAGUGCCUUGGAGUUCCUGGACCUGAGUGGAUCCGCCUAUCUAACCAAUGAGAUAGUGGCGGAGUUUACCAGGACGCUUGGCGGACUGGGCCGGUUAAAAGUCGAGCGAUGUCCUCAUAUUUCACAACGAUUAGCCGAGAUCCUCGGAGGAAACAUCAAGCUUAAAAUAGACACAAAAUAAAAAACAACUUGUUGGCUUUUCUGUUUAUUUUUUAUAAAAUAUAAACCGAAAUGCUUGAUUUGUAAUCGACAAACUUUGCAAACUCUGUUAUAUAUGUGACAAACUGAUCAGAUC